CCUACGGGAGGCUGCAGUGGGGAAUAUUGCGCAAUGGGCGAAAGCCUGACGCAGCGACGCCGCGUGAGGGAUGAAGGUCUUCGGAUCGUAAACCUCUGUCAGCAGGGAAGAACGGUCACUGUGCUAAUCAGCAGUGAAUUGACGGUACCUGCAAAGGAAGCACCGGCUAACUCCGUGCCAGCAGCCGCGGUAAUACGGAGGGUGCGAGCGUUAAUCGGAAUUAAUGGGCGUAAGGCGCUCGUAGGCGGUAUGUCAAGUCAAGGGUGAAAUCCCCGCGCUCAACGUGGGAACUGCCUUUGAAACUGGCAAACUGGAGUGUGUGAGAGGAUAGUGGAAUUCCAGGUGUAGGAGUGAAAUCCGUAGAUAUCUGGAGGAACAUCAGUGGCGAAGGCGACUAUCUGGCACAUAACUGACGCUGAGGAUCGAAAGCGUGGGUAGCAAACAGGAUUAGAUACCCGGGUAGUC
rnacentral:rRNA from 1 species